GCCUAAAGCGUCCGUAGCCUGAUCUAGUAAGUUUCCGGUUAAAUCCACAUGCUCAACAUUUGGGCUGCCGGAAAAACUGUAGAUCUAGGGAGUGGGAGAGGUAGACGGUACUCGAUAGGAAGGGGUAAAAUCCUUUGAUCUAUUGAUGACCACCAGUGGCGAAGGCGGUCUACCAGAACACGUUCGACGGUGAGGGAUGAAAGCUGGGGGAGCAAACCGGAUUAGAUACCCGGGUAGUCCCAGCUGUAAACGAUGCAGACUCGGUGAUGCAUUGGCUUGUGGCCAGUGCAGUGCCGCAGGGAAGCCGUUAAGUUUGCCGCCUGGGAAGUACGUACGCAAGUAUGAAACUUAAAGGAAUUGGCGGGGGAGCACCACAAGGGGUGAAGCCUGCGGUUCAAUUGGAGUCAACGCCAGAAAUCUUACCCGGAGAGACAGCAGAAUGAAGGUCAAGCUGAAGACUUUACCAGACAAGCUGAGAGGUGGUGCAUGGCCGUCGCCAGCUCGUGCCGUGAGAUGUCCUGUUAAGUCAGGUAACGAGCGAGACCCUUGCCUCUAGUUGCCACCAUUGCUCUCUGGAGCAGUGGGGCGAAUUAGCGGGACCGCCGCAGUUAAUGCGGAGGAAGGAAAGGGCUACGGCAGGUCAGUAUGCCCCGAA
rnacentral:rRNA from 1 species